rnacentral:misc_RNA from 1 species
GAUGAAGAACGCAGCGAAAUGCGAUACUUGGUGUGAAUUGCAGAAUCCCGUGAACCAUCGAGUCUUUGAACGCAAGUUGCGCCUCAAGCCAUUAGGUUGAGGGCACGUCUGCCUGGGCGUCACAUAUCGUUGCCUGAUGCCAGUUUCCUCGUGAUGGGUGACUGUGCAGGGCGAAUGAUGGCUUCCCGUGAGCAUUGUUGCCUCAUGGUUGGUUGAAAAUUGAGUCCUUGGUAGGGAGCGCCGUGAUAGAUGGUGGUUGAGUGACGAACGAGACCCAAUCAUGUGAGACCCCUACCGAAUUUGGCCUUCAUGACCCACAUGCGACUUUGGAACGCUCAUGACGAGACCUCAGGUCAGGCGGGGCUACCCGCUGAGUUUAAGCAUAUCAAUAAGCGGAGGA